rnacentral:rRNA from 1 species
ACGGCCGCAGUAUACCUGACUGUGCAAAGGUAGCAUUACUCCUUGCCUUUUAAUUGAUGGCCUGCAUGAAUGGAUCUACGAGGCUUGGACUCUAUCCCCUCUAUGCCCCGAAAUUAAUAUCUAGGUGAAAACGCCUAGAUACACCUGAAAGACAAAAAGACCCUAUUGAGCUUUACUAGACGGUAUUCUUACUAUACCUACCAGUUUAGUUGGGGCAACUAUAGAUCAACCUAGCAUCACUGCUUCCCUCAGACUCUAAGUCACUUUCACGACCCUCCAGGAUCAUAAGAAAUAGUUACCAUAGGGGUAACAGGCUAAUUUCUUUUAAGAGCACAAAUUGACAAAGAAGUUUGGCACCUCGAUGUUGGCUCAGGGAUUCCUCUUGGUAGCAGAAGCCAUCAGGGUAGG